rnacentral:lncRNA from 1 species
UUAGUACUGUUUACGGUGUUGUCGACUCUUAUCCUAUAGAAAGAAAGAUCCAAUGGAAUUGAAGAAUGGCUCUAUUUCACUUUCGUUUAAGCUGAGAUGACGCAGUGCGAAUGAAGUCUAGGUUCGUUGCUAGUGUUGUCGUUUCGUACGGUUGAAAGUUGGCUGUAGUUCAUAUCUCUGAUAGAAGCUCUGCAUUGGUGCUGUAGCUCCUUGUCUAUGAUAAAUAGGGGGCCUCUUGUCUAGUAGUUACUUGUCUAGUAGUUGCUUGGCCGGUCUUCAACUAAUAAGAAUAGGGAACUGGGCAUUCAUUCUAUGUCUUCUUCUUUUGUUUGAGCACCCGACUCGUAAUCCACUGUUUGAUUUCUCUCAGACCAGACCCGCUUGCCAACACACCUUACUUACCUAGCUCAUGCCCUAUCGAAGUAAACUCUAUUCUAUAUCUUUCUUACGAGGAAGCCUAAACCUAAUAAGAAGGGAAGGGGAACUACUAUAUCUACAGAAGGGAAGCAGUUAGAGCAUAGCCUGUCGCAAGUGGGUCCGCCCCUGUUAUUGGUUUUGUCAUAUAAGUAAUUAACUGAGUGGCCUUAGAAGCAUAUUCGUUGCCUUGUAGCUGCAGCUCCGGUAACAAUUAAUAUAUAAGAAAUAUACCUUUCACAUACCUUUCACUCCUCUGUCAACUGAUAAAGAAUUCCACUGGCACCGAGGAACCCGGACUUGCUCAUCACUCUGGUCUAGUAGUCGAACACCAAUGAACACAGGACUUAUUCUGUGUCCUUAGCUGGGGUAUGGAUUGUAAAGAGGUCGAAGAGAAGGUAGAUGAGAUGAGAUGAGCCGGGAGUUAUAGUGUUAUAGCUAGUCAAGAUAGACUUAGAUCGGAUAAUAGCAGACUCGCCCUAGUACAGGUGAGACUCAUAGUUCUCGGUUCGGGAAUUAAGGUAAGCAGUGCAGGAAUGAGGGCAAGGGGAUGAAAGCUAAGAGGCUGCCGAUUUAUAAUAGGCAUUAGAGAGAUUCUCGCUAGUGUAGAUGCGCUAUAGAUUGUACCCCUAUGCUGUAUGCUUAUACCAAUCAGUGGGAUUCCCCGUUAGUUGAGUAAGUCCUGGUCCUGGUGGUUGGUUAUUUCACUUAUUUUGCAUUUCUUUAUAAUUAUUCACCAGGCAAUUCUCUAAGAUAUGCUGAAACAAGAACAGUUCAUUCAGCAUCUGUAUUCCGCCCCUACUUAUUUAGUUUGAGCACCCUAGCACUACGGUUGAGAACACAAUAACAGGCAAUUUAGUGUCCAACCAACAAAGACAGAUUCACCAAGAACAUCAAGAUACUAACCGGAAGUAGACCUAGCUAAGGCUUCUCAUUUUACCCGGUACUCCUUACUCUUUUCUUGUUGAACGCGUAGGAAUUUCUUCCAUUCCCUUUCCGUUAGCGCCUCACUUUUGCCACUGAGUCUUCUUGCGCAGAGGAGAGGCAAACAGGAAUCUUUCGAGCGUCGACAACACUAGAACAGACUGCCAAUAGAACCGCUCAAUACUAAUACUCUGCCUAAUCACUAUUUCUAUACUAAACGAGCUUACCUGCUUCCCUUUUGUCGACCUUAACGGAACGAACAACUUGCGUCUUAUCCUAUUUAUUCUCCUUUAUUGCUUGGCACUUUCACUCCGGAACUCAUAUGUUAUGUUUUCUUCCACUCAAGUAGGGAUAGAACGUAUAGGAUUUGACGUACAACACUUAUUAGCGAAAUGGAACUUGCAUGUAUGGAUAACACAAUAACGGUACACUAGUAAGCUACCUAUCCCAUUUGUGACUCAAAUCUCUCACAGGUGUACCUACAUUCUUCAAGGACUAGGUUAGGCUAUCCUCUUUCGAGCACCGAGUCAACUCGCAUUGCCAACAUUUCCAAUUGACUCUCUUGCGGGGGGCGCAUCCAAUAUUUUCUCCCUGAUAACAAGCAGAGCAGGAAAAGCGGAAUUGAUUGAAUCUUUUGAGCGCAGCGCCGAGUAUAUCAAUGUCAUAAUAUGGUUGAUUUCUUGCCUUUUCAUCAGAGAAUUAUGGAAUGGAGGAGCUCACUUUAGCCACUGAAACCUCAUGGGGUGAGUCAACUCAACCAGGAAAAGGAAAUAAGGAAUUUACAGUUGAUCUUGCUUCAGCGGAUCCUUCUUCCGCUUCAUACCUUUAAGAUGCUUCUUCGGGGCUGGGCUUCUUUCUAUAAAGUAUGAUGAAAGUAGAACUGGGCUAACCUAUAAAUCAGGAUACCGCGCUUCAAUAGUAAGAUAGUCUGACCUUUGAAACCGACUUCACUAUCAACCCAACCGUCCAGUCCAGAGCAAGUCCUCUGUUUUCGGGAGCUACGUGGGCAUGAGCACUCUGCUUGGCCCGGACUGACGCACAACUACUAGCUACAUAGCUUGUCGGCUUAGUCAUUAUGCGUGUCUUGGCGGGUAGUCUAGGCUAUGGAAAGGUAUCGUUCGAGGAGUGGGAAGAAUGUAGGUAUCAACCCAUCGAACUGGAAUUGGAAUCAUUCAGAUAGAAACCCAUCGAUCAGAAGUGGGAAGAAUUCUGGUAUCAAGCCCUACAUACUGAAUUGAAGAAGUGGGAAUCAUUCGGGUGGAAAAACCAUCAAAGAAAAGAUCAUCUGAGAAAAACUAUCAAAUCAGAAAUCACAAAUAAAAUAGAAAAGUACUCGCAUUUUGUCUAUAGCUUUUCAGUAGACACACAGUAGAGAAAACAUAGGUGCAUUUUCUUUCUUCUUAAUAUAGGAUAACUGAUCAAACUAAGGAGUC